rnacentral:rRNA from 1 species
AGCGUUGAAAAGCUCUUGGAUGAGUUGUGGGUAGGGGUGAAAGGCCAAUCAAACUGGGAAAUAGCUCGUACUCCCCGAAAUGCAUUUAGGUGCAGCCUUGUGACAGUUUUACAGAGGUAGAGCUACUGAUUGGAUGCGAGGGCUUCGCCGCCUAUCAAAUCCAGACAAACUCCGAAUGCUGUAAAAUGAUUCACAGGAGUGAGGGCAUGGGUGCUAAGGUCCAUGUCCGAGAGGGAAAGAACCCAGACCAUCAGCUAAGGUCCCCAAGUAUAUGCUAAGUUGAAUAAACGAGGUCCGGUUGCAGCGACAGCUAGGAUGUUGGCUUGGAAGCAGCCAUUCAUUUAAAGAGUGCGUAACAGCUCACUAGUCGAGCGACUGGGCAUGGAUAAUAAUCGGGCAUAAGCAUAUCACCGAAGCUAUGGAUUUGUAGCAAUACAACUGGUAGGGG